CCUACGGGUGGCAGCAGUGGGGAAUAUUGCACAAUGGGGGAAACCCUGAUGCAGCGACGCCGCGUGAGUGAAGAAGUACUUCGUUACGUAAAGCUCUAUCAGCAGGGAAGAAACACUGACCUUACGGUCAGCAGACGGUACCUGAGUAAGAAGCAACGGCUAACUACGUGCCAGCAGCCGCGGUAAUACGUAGGGGGCAAGCGUUAUCCGGAUUUACUGGGUGUAAAGGGAGCGUAGACGGUGCGCCAAGUCUGAUGUGAAAUGCCGCAGCUUAACUGCGGAACUGCUUUUGAAACUGGCGAACUAGAGUGCGGGAGGGGUAAGCGGAAUUCCUAGUGUAGCGGUGAAAUGCGUAGAUAUUAGGAGGAACACCGGUGGCGAAGGCGGCUUACUGGACCGUAACUGACGUUGAGGCUCGAAAGCGUGGGGAGCAAACAGGAUUAGAUACCCCUGUAGUC
rnacentral:rRNA from 1 species